AUCCGGGAAGCCGGCCAGCUGAGUUCCUGGCAUCUCUUCUUCUGCAGAACCUGCGUGAAACUCGUCUAAUUCAGAUGUGUUUUCUCUUGCCUCGCAGGCCUCUGGCUUGGCGGGUGAAUUUUCUUCAUGGUUGACAAGGCAGAAGUCUGGGAGAUUUAUGGAAGGACUCUGAUGUCACAUCUUCUUGCUCUAAGAGGCAGCUAAGAAGGAAUGAAUAAUUGUAGAAAAGGAAUGAAUAAUGGUGCUACAGAGCACCCAGACCUGUGGCUCACAUCACCUUCAAAAAUGUGCCCGUCUCUUGGAGGUUUAUGAACUGCAGUGACGACCACUUUGUUGGCAGGGUCGUCUCUCUUUCUUAAAGAAGAGCAGUAAAGACCGCCGGUUAGGCAUAAUGCCUGGCACAUACGAGCUGCUCAGAAAAAUGUUUUUGAACGAUUAGAGAGACUUACCCACAAAAUCUGCCUUUGCUACAUAAACCUCUAUCCAGCAUAUAUAUUCGAUCAUCAUAUACAGUCUGUUGCGCUACUCAGUGAAAAUCACCACCACGUGCACUCAAGAGAUACAAAGGACUCUGUUGAUUUCUGUUCUGUUACAAAAGUCAUCAGCACUAUGCAAGCCACUGGCAAAGUAUCAAAGCAAUGCAGAAAUACGUAGCAUCAGAAGUGAAAGAGCCAGGCACCCCCUCCUCAGCCACUUAGGGAGAGCUAGGCAGGGCACCGCACGUAGGUGCAGGUAUUUUCCGCGCCCGGAUUACCGUUUGUUUGUGGUAGCUUCUCGAAACUAGUGGAUUUCAUACUUGUGCCUCAGAUUAUUUACCAGCCGCUUAGAAUAUCUAUAGCGCAUGUAAUCUGUAAUUCUGCUGAGUUGAAUCUCAAGGUCUCUGAGACCCCUGAGAGGCCACAUGAGACACCUGCCAGAUGUGCUGGCCCAGCCCGUCAGCAGCGUCCGCACCUCAAGGAAUAUUUGUUGUCUCCUUCUGUGGCAGCCGGCUCUCUAGGUACCUCACCAGACCAUUUCACUUUUUGGUCACAAAGCAUUGCACAGGGGAACUCACAAAGCUCUCAGGAUAUAUUGUUGCCGAACACUAAGGAUCUAUUGUACCGACUGGCUAAUGAAAUUCAUGAUGUUCAAAUACAAUAGCUUUUGGAAACAUGGGUAUCCAAAAGCAUAGUGUCAGUUUCCAUGCUUUUUAUUUAUUGUCCAAGUGUCAUAACAGUCUUUAAACAGAAACUUAAAAAAAGUCCACUCACUCACAAUAGAAGUAAAUAUUUAAGAUAUUUUUUAAAGUUGCACCUCCUAUUAUACACAAUGUACAUUCAAUAGAUGAAAUUAUUUCAGAUCAUCAUUAUCCCUCAAGACAACCUCCGCACUGAGCUUUCUGCCAUCAUGAAUUAUAAAAGCAGACAUUGGGGUGCCUGGGGGGCUCAGUCAGUUAAGCAGCUGACUCUUGAUUUCGACUCAGGUCAUGAUCUCACGGUUUGUGAGUUCCGCGCUGACAGCAGGGAGCCUGCUUGGGAUUCUCUCUCUCUUCCUCUGUCUCUGCCCCCUCCUGCAUCCUCCAGACUGAAGGCUUUGGCCAAAAAGCUCAACAAUUUUCCUUUCAAAAUAUUUUUUUCACUGUGUACAUAAAAUCCCCCAUAUGCAGUUAUAAACCCUUGAAAGGAGGUCCAACAUUUCGAAGAGAUUUUCACAUUUCCUAACAACUGUCACAAGACUCCCAGCUAGGUCAUUUGAACAAAAGAAGGCAGGUUUUACCGGUGUCCGAGCACAAGAUUAGGAUUCAUUACAUUCAGCAUUAUUCAAAGCCAUACUUGUGGAACAUUUGCUAUUCAAUACUGUUGGCUGUGCUUCAGUCUGUUUGGAUUCUUCUGUGUGAAAAUGACGGCUCUGGGAUCUUGCUGGACUCAAGUCCAACAGCAUUGUCAACACCAGCAUCUUGUUAAAAUGCAGAGGCUGGGGCCAUCCCCCAGAUUACUGAAACAGAAACUGCAUUUUCCAAAAAAUCCUGGGGGAUUCAAACGUACGUCGGAAAUGCGAAAGCAAUUUCAAGAAGGGAGGCAUUUGUUCACCGAUACCGUUUCCUAUGAGAAUCUAUCUUUGGAUCCUUUCAACGUUGUCAUUUUACUGGGACUUUUACUAACUCACACCAUUAGCUCCUGGUUCCUCACACCACUUUCAACAUAAAAGUCACCCCAGGAAGGGGGGUGUAUUUCUGAGCCACUUUGUGGCAAGUUCUUAUUUAUUGGGUCCGGUAUUGGGUCUCAGAUCCUCUAUUAUGUACCUCAAGAGGUUCUUAGGAUCAAGCUCCGUGGGGUGACACUCUCCCAGUUUUCCUCCGGGUGGCCCCCAAAUCCAUACGAUCAAGGAUUGAAAAAAAAAAUAAAGCAAAGAUUUAUGAGACUCCCUUAGGCAUGUUGCAUGUUACAGUAUCUCCAGAACAGAGAUCAUCAACGACUGUGUCCUACCUACCCUCAUAGAGCUGUCCAAACCAGAGUGGAUCUUCCUGGCGUUAGGAUGUCAGGAGGAUCGCGUUUAAAACAGAAUCAAACGAGGGAAUGAGUGAGAAUCCUCGGGAAUCUGGGAGGCAGAAUCUGUUCUGCUUUUAUGCCGGUGCUGUUUGCAUAGGAGAUAAUUUAUGAUUGUCUUCUAGCUACGCAGGGAGUCAUGUGCUGUGACGGCUCUUAUGUUGCUGACAAGCUAGGCUGGCCCUGAAUAAAUAGCACUUUAUCAUCAACACAA